UGCUGUGGACAGCCUGGGCAGCGAGGACCCCUGCAGAGGCCCCUGGGGCCAAAGGGGCAGUGCCCAGUCUGGCAGAAAUAAGAGGGAGACCCAAAGAAAUGGCGGCCUUAGAGACAACAGCUUAGGAACCGACUCUGAAGAAGAGAAACCACAGAGGGCUGGCCCGGGUCGGAGUCUGAACUCAACGACGUUUGCAAAUCCCACACAGACGCUCAGCCUACCUCCAAGGGGAUGACGAAGCCAGAUGCGUGGCCAGCAUUUUUCCAGUAGUUGAGGGAGAGUGGGGUAGAGAGGCUGUAAGAGCCAGAGACGGUAGAGGAAUCCGAAGGAAACUGAAGUUUCCAGACUCGACAAGGAGACGCACCUAUGACUGUGACAACACGCAUAACACCUGCACAAGCUCAAGCCAGAUCAAAACCCCAUCGUGCAGAGGGUAAAGUGGGCACACAUCCCCACUCCUCACCAAGAGGUGACUGGCAACUGGUACUGGAGGGAGAGGGGAAAUCGGUUUUCAUCAUUGGAGUGACAUCGGGUGGGUCAACCACACUCAAGAGCUCAGAAAGAGUUGGCCAACACAAAUCUAACUCCAAGGUCUUGUUCGUUUUGAAACAGGAUGACUCUGUGUAGCUGUAGCGCUGGCUUGCCUGGAACUCUGUAGACCAGGCUGGCCUGGAACUCACAGAGCCGCUGCCUGCCUCCUGAGUGCUGGGAUUAAAAGCGUGCACCGCCACCUCCGCUUCCACCACUACCUCAGCUUGCUCUGUUGUGUGUGUCUAUGUGUGUGUGUGUGUGUGUGUGUGUGUGUGUGUGUGUGAGAGAGAGAGAGAGAGAGAGAGAGAGAGAGAGAGAGAGAGAGAACACUGUAGCUGUCUUCAGACACACCAGAAGAGGGGGCAUCAGAUCCCAUUAACGACGGUUGUGAGCCACCAUGUGGUUACUGGGAAUUGAACUCAGGACCUCUGGAAGAGCAGUCAGUGCUCUUAACUGCUGAGCCAUCGCUCCAGCCCUCAAAAUCUCAGGCUUUGGACCGUAUGGGGAUAGAACCCACGACCUUGGAGUUAUUAACACCACGCUCUAACCAGCUGAGCUAACUGGCCAACUGCUUGUUCUAUUUUCAUUUUUGUUCUUAAAUUUUUAUAUUAUUUUAUUUAUUAUAUAUAAAUAUACUGUAGCUGUCUUCAGACACACCAGAAGAGGGCAUCAGAGCCCAUUGCAGAUGGUUGUGAGCCACCAUGUGGUUGCCAGGAUUUGAACUCAGGACUUCUAGGUAGAACAGUCAGUGUUCUUUACCACUGAGCCAUCUCUCCAGCCUGCUAGUUCUGUUUUUUGUUUGUUUGUUUGUUUGUUUGUUUCUUUUUUUUGGAGCUGGGGACCAAACCCAGGGCCUUGCGGUUGCUAGGCAAGAGCUCUACCACUGAGCUUAAUCCCCAACCCACUAGUUCUGGUUUUUUUUUUUUUUUUUUUUUGGUUCUUUUUUUUCCGGAGCUGGGAACCGAACCCAGGGCCUUGCGCUUCUUAGGUAAGCGCUCUACCACUGAGCUAAAUCCCCAGCCCACUAGUUCUGUUUUUUAAGAGAGAGAAAGAAUGUGAAUUUUGGUGGGUAGGGAGGAAGAGAGGAAAGGUUCUGGGAGGAAUGAGGGAGGGGAAAGAAUAUAAUCAAAAUAUAUUGUGUAAAAUUCUCAAAGAAUACAUUUAAAAAAAUAGCCGGGGUUGUGGUAUAAAUGCUUACCCAUCAUGUGGGAUGCCUUAAUUACUAAGAAGCACACAAGCAAAAUUGAAAAUAUUGAAUAAAUGAACCAUAUUUUAAAGGAAAAACAGAAAA